rnacentral:rRNA from 1 species
GACGGAGGAGGCAAGCGUUAUCCGGAAUGAUUGGGCGGAAAGCGUUCGCAGGUGGCUGUUCAAGUCUGCUGUCAAAGACCGGGGCUUAACCACAGAAAGGCAGUGGAAACUGAACGGCUGGAGUGCAGAUCGGGUAGAGGGAAUUCCCAGUGUAGCGGUGAAAUGCGUAGAGAUUGGGAAGAACCCCGGUGGCGAAAGCGCUCUGCUGGACUGCAACUGACACUGAGGGACGAAAGCUAGGGGAGCGAAAGGG